rnacentral:lncRNA from 1 species
UGUUUUCGCAUUUGGCCCCCAUCGAAAAGAGGCUGCCGUGGCCGGGAUUCGAUCCCGCGACCUCGAGCUCAGCAGCCCGACACCAUAGCCACUGAGUGACCACGGCGGGUAGUUCGUAAACAAACGACAUACAA